rnacentral:rRNA from 1 species
CCUACGGGGGGCUGCAGUGGGGAAUAUUGGACAAUGGGCGGAAGCCUGAUCCAGCAAUACCGCGUGUGUGAAGAAGGCCUGAGGGUUGUAAAGCACUUUCAAUAGGAAGGAAUACCUAUCCAUUAAUACUGGGUAGACUGACAUUACCUAUACAAGAAGCACCGGCUAACUCCGUGCCAGCAGCCGCGGUAAUACGGAGGGGGCAAGCGUUAAUGGGAAUUACUGGGCGGAAAGUCGUUAUGGGAGAUUCGAACGCCCUGGGCUUAACCUGGGAAUGGCAUUUGAUACUGGCGAGCUAGAGUUGAGUAGAGGGGAGUGGAAUUUCAGGUGUAGCGGUGAAAUGCGUAGAGAUCUGAAGGAACACCAGUGGCGAAGGCGACUCCCUGGACUCAAACUGACGCUGAGGUACGAAAGCGUGGGUAGCAAACAGGAUUAGAUACCCGGGUAGUC